AGGGAAUAUUGGACAAUGGGUGAGAGCCUGAUCCAGCCAUGCCGCGUGCAGGAAGAAGGCGUUAUGCGUUGUAAACUGCUUUUGCCAGGGGAUAAAAAGAGCAUGCGUGCUUUAUUGAAGGUACCUGGUGAAUAAGCCACGGCUAACUACGUGCCAGCAGCCGCGGUAAUACGUAGGUGGCAAGCGUUGUCCGGAUUUAUUGGGUUUAAAGGGUGCGUAGGCGGCCCUGUAAGUCAGUGCUGAAAUAUCCCGGCUUAACCGGGAGGGUGGCAUUGAUACUGCAGGGCUUGAGUACAGAUGAAGUAGGCGGAAUUGACGGUGUAGCGGUGAAAUGCAUAGAUAUCGUCAAGAACACCGAUAGCGAAGGCAGCUUACUAAGCUGUAACUGACGCUGAGGCACGAAAGUGUGGGGAUCAAAC
rnacentral:rRNA from 1 species